rnacentral:piRNA from 1 species
UCCAAGCACUUCUGCCUCUGUCCGUAAAC